GAGAAGGCCAACAAGUGCUUCCUGCAGGGAGGAAAACAACAACUGAGGACAGCCCAGUCAUUCAGGGAAAACAACCGCACUGUGCUCCUCAAAAUCCUACUCCUGUCGAUUGGUGGACUGUUGGGA